rnacentral:lncRNA from 1 species
GCAUCACCCCCGAUCUGACGCUGGAGCCGACGCACCUCAGAGGAUUUGGCCUUCCUGGCCUUCUUCUCCUUAAGCAAGGAACUCGCCGUCUUCCCGAGGUCCCUCUCGAGCUCCCCUAUCGCGACCUCGAGCUUAGACACUUUCGCGGAAUGAGAAUCCUUGACAGCCGUCAGCAUGGCCUCGGUUUCAGACCAUCUACCCUGAAGCUCCACCAACUCCCCGGCAAGACGACUGGUCUCAGAACCGCACUGGCUGAUCAUCCCAUCGAUCAACGACAUGAACUGCAAACAAUUUUUUUUUUUUUAAGACUUAAGUCCGAGAAAGAAUGUUCAUAAAACAAUCGAGAAUUCAAGUGAGCGACAAACCUUUCCGCGAAGUCCCGACGCUAGGCUCGAUCCUCCUUGCUGCGAAGAUUCUCCGUCACCACUCUUGGCAAGCUUCCUCUUCCGGCUCUUAGGCGGAGCAACGGGAACAGCACUAGGAGCACGCAACGCUAGAAAGAUUUCUUUCCUGGCCGGAGGAGGAGGCAUAGAGUCAGCGGCCCUCUCCUUGUCCUCGACAAGGAUUGGAGUCGUGGACAAACUGGCAGGUAGAGCUUGAGCGUCUGGAAUGCCCGAGCCGGCAAGAGUUCUUAUGUCUUGCGGAAUCACGACCUCGGUCCCAUGUCCCGGGGCAACAACCCGCG